CGGCCUUGACAUACUAAGAACUUUCCAGAGAUGGAUUGGUGCCUUCGGGAACUUAGAUACAGGUGCUGCAUGGCUGUCGUCAGCUCGUGUCGUGAGAUGUUGGGUUAAGUCCCGCAACGAGCGCAACCCUUUUCCUUAUUUGCCAGCGGGUCAUGCCGGGAACUUUAAGGAUACUGCCAGUGACAAACUGGAGGAAGGCGGGGACGACGUCAAGUCAUCAUGGCCCUUACGGCCAGGGCUACACACGUGCUACAAUGGUCGGUACAAAGGGUUGCUACCUCGCGAGAGGAUGCUAAUCUCAAAAAGCCGAUCGUAGUCCGGAUCGCAGUCUGCAACUCGACUGCGUGAAGUCGGAAUCGCUAGUAAUCGCGGAUCAGAAUGCCGCGGUGAAUACGUUCCCGGGCCUUGUACACACCGCCCGUCACACCAUGGGAGUUUGUUGCACCAGAAGUAGGUAGUCUAACCGCAAGGAGGACGCUUACCACGGUGUGGCCGAUGACUGGGGUGAAGUCGUAACAAGGUAGGCGUAGAUGA
rnacentral:rRNA from 1 species